UACGUAGGGUCCGAGCGUUGUCCGGAAUUAUUGGGCGUAAAGGCUCGUAGGCGGUCCGUCACGUCGGGAGUGAAAACUCAGGGCUCAACCCUGAGCGUGCUUCCGAUACGGGCGGACUAGAGGUAUGCAGGGGAGAACGGAAUUCCUGGUGUAGCGGUGGAAUGCGCAGAUAUCAGGAGGAACACCGGUGGCGAAGGCGGUUCUCUGGGCAUUACCUGACGCUGAGGAGCGAAAGCAUGGGGAGCGAACGG
rnacentral:rRNA from 1 species